AAAUUCUUCUAAAUAGAGUUGAAGGGUCAGGUCUAGGCUUGUCAGUUUUUACUAAGCUUUAUAAAUACUAGAUGCUUAGCCCCCAUAGACUGUUUCAGCAGAAACUGAUCUUGAAAAGGUGCAAAAGUCAUCCACACUCUUUCAAUCUCUAUCCCUCUCUAUUUAUUCUUCUGCCUCUUGAUGUCCCCAAAAAAGAGUAUCUUGGGCAUACCUCAUGCAGAGAGAAUCCAUACAUGUUUAUAGAGAUUUAAUAAGACAAAAUUAAAGUAGUAUGAUGUAUAUACGACUGUCUCUAAUUUUCUGGAGGACAAUUUAGUAUCAAAAGCUUUAAAAGUAUGCCUAUCUUUUGCUUCUCAGAAAUUCUACUUCUAGAGAUCCAUCCCAAAGUGAAGGUGCACACUAAUGUCGGUCAUUUGCAGUAGUCUUUAUAAAAGGAAAAAUUGAGAACAAUGUAAAUGGUUGACAGUAAGAAGGUGGUUGUUUAGGUUAUGACAAAUCUACCCACCGAACCAUUUGCAGCCCUAAAUGAUUGUGCCAUACCUGCACAAAAAUAUCUAAUGUCAUGAGAAAAUCUUUGUAAUGUAUGAAGGGAUGAAAAGCAGGUUAAAAACAGUUUGUAGAGUAUGAUCUUACCUUAGUCUGUUUGGGCCACUAUGGCAACAUGCCAUUGACUGGCUGGCCAAAGCAACAAACCCUUGUUUCUCACAGUGCUGGUAGCUGGGAAGUCCAAGAACAAGACACCACCAGAUUCAGUGUCUGAUGAGGAACGGCUUCCUUGUUCUUGGACAGCUGUCUUCUUGUUGUGCCCUCACACGCCAGAAGGCUCAGAGAGCUCUCUGGGGUGUCUUUUAUAAGAGCGCUAAUCCAAUUCAUGAGGACUCCACCCUCGUGACCUAAUCACCUCCCAAAGGACCCAUCUCCUAAUACCAACACACUGGGGAUUAGAUUUCAACAUAUGAAUGGGGGAGGUGGAACAUAAACAUUUCAAUUCUGCAAAAGAAGCUACAUACUCAGUAUACAAUUUUAUAUACACAGAAGGACUUCAGAAAAACUGUCCUUAAAUUUAGGGAUUAUGAGUAAUUAUAGAAUCGCAGUAACUUAAUGAACAAUGUUUUCUAUGCCAGGCACGCUUCCAAGUGUUUCACAUGCACUAUUUAAUUUAAUAGAAUUCUUCAAACAACUAAGAAGAUGGGCUUUAUUGUCCCACUUAGAAGAUGAAAUCAAGUACGCAGAAAUUCAGAGGCCUGUUCAAGGAAACAGGAGGUGGAGCCUUACCCUCUAUGCCAAGAACACACUUUUAAUUACUAUAUUAUAACAACAUCCCAAUUUUUGUUCAUUUAGGUUUUAUAUCUUUGUCCAAAAUUUCCAGGGUAAAUAUGCAUUAUUUUAUGACCCAGAAAACUAUCUAAUUAGAUCUUAUUAAAAUCGUAUUAGAUAUUGUAAAGGAAAAGAGAAAAUCUCCUAAAUACCAGAGAAUAAUAUUUCUAUUUCAAGAAAUAGAUGUUCUGAAACCAAAUUGCUGAAUUGGAGUUUCCUUAAAUUUUCUUUUGAGUUUUGGUAAAACCAUGUAACUGAUGAAAUAUAACAAAUGACACCAUUUCUGCUUUACUAAUCACCUUUUUAUUUUUUUUAUAGAGAUGAUCAACCCACCCAAGAAACAUGAUGUUUCCAUAAUAUGACUGUGUCUGUGCUUGCCUGCCAUCCUUCCCCUUUAUUUUCCCUUUCCAAAGAAGCCUAUACACCUCAUGGAGACCCAUAACAACUUGUUCUCCCUAUAAACAAGGAGAGAAGAGAGCACAGAAAACACCACCAUUGUAAAAUUAAGCUUAUCAUCCUUCUUUCAAAAAGAAUUGGUCACAAUUUGCUUUGUUGGAGCAAUCUGUCCCCUGUUACAGAUUUAUAUUGCUCUGUGGGACUGUGUUAGAAAAACAUUAUUAUUAUUAGCAGUAGUAAUACUUGGCAGCCAGUCAGCACAUUUCAUCAAAGACUCCAAGAGCUUAGCCAUCAAUCAAACUUGCCUUGGUGUGCUCCUGGGAGGAGGUGGUAUUAUUUCUGUUUGGAACAGAGGUUAAGUGACUUGCCCAAGGCCUUGAAGCUAGUGAGGUUCAGAGUUGGGAAUUAAACCCUGGAGACUUGACACCCAGCAUCCCACUCUCCUUCCUAGAGCACAUUCCCUCUGCCUGUCUGAAAGAUGUAGGGAUAAAGAAAGCAUCUAAUAGAAAAAUGUCCUGCUCCCCAGCAUGUGUUCUUAUGCUCAAACUCUUCUGGCAUUAAAACAGAAAAGCACAAGUGAUUUCCUUCAGAACCUUAGCUGGUACUUCUCAGUUUUGGCACUUGUUCCAUUCAUUCCUUCAUCAAAUAUUUGCUUAGUGCUACCAUGUGUUAGCAACAAUUCAAUUGUUGUGAGAGAUACAGCCAUGACCUGCAGGGAGUUUUUAGUCUAGCAGGAAAGAAUAAUAAAAAGACCACUGGGAUACUGAGCAAUGUUGCUUACUAUUUGCUACUGUGUCAUGAUCCACGUUUGAAAUCUAGAUUCUGGGAUCCCUGGGUGACGCAGCAGUUUAGCGCCUGCCUUUGGCCCAGGGUGUGAUCCUGGAGACCCGGGAUCGAAUCCCACGUCAGGCUCCCGGUGCAUGGAGCCUGCUUCUCCCUCUGCCUAUGUCUCUGCCUCUCUCUCUCUCUCUGUGUGUGCCUAUCAUAAAAAAAAAAAAAAAAAAA
rnacentral:lncRNA from 1 species